rnacentral:rRNA from 1 species
AUUGAACGCUGGCGGAAUGCUUUACACGUGCAAGUCGAACGGCAGCACGGACUUCGGUCUGGUGGCGAGUGGCGAACGGGUGAGUAAUGUAUCGGAACGUGCCCAGUCGUGGGGGAUAACGUAGUGAAAAUUACGCUAAUACCGCAUACGAUCUAUGGAUGAAAGCGGGGGAUCGCAAGACCUCGCGCGAUUGGAGCGGCCGAUAUCAGAUUAGGUCGUUGGUGGGGUAAAGGCCCACCAAGCCAACGAUCUGUAGCUGGUCUGAGAGGACGACCAGCCACACUGUAACUGAGACACGGUCCAGACUCCUACGGGAGGCAGCAGUGGGGAAUUUUGGACAAUGGGCGAAAGCCUGAUCCAGCCAUUCCGCGUGCAGGAUGAAGGCCCUCGGGUUGUAAACUGCUUUUGUACAGAACGAAAAGGUUUCUACUAAUACUAGAAGCUCAUGACGGUACUGUAAGAAUAAGCACCGGCUAACUACGUGCCAGCCGCCGCCGUAA